AACUUUCAACAACGGAUCUCUUGGUUCUGGCAUCGAUGAAGAACGCAGCGAAAUGCGAUAAGUAAUGCGAAUUGCAGAAUUUCCGUGAGUCAUCGAAUCUUUGAACGCACAUUGCGCCCUUUGGCAUUCCGAAGGGCAUGCCUGUUCGAGCGUCAUUAUCAACCUUCAAACCCCGUGUUUGGCGUUGGGCCCAGGUCGUGCUCUCCCGCGCGACCGGCUCCAAAGACAAUGACGGCGUCCGUGGGACCCUCGGUGCAACGAGCUUUUUCCAAAGCACGCGUCGAAGCGGAUCUGCGGGGGCCGGUCUCUGAUGAAUUUACAUCACUUCUCAGGUUGACCUCGGAUCAGGUAGGGAUACCCGCUGAACUUAAGCAUAUCAAUAAGCGGAGGAAAAGAAACCAACAGGGAUUGCCUCAGUAACGGCGAGUGAAGCGGCAACAGCUCAAAUUUGAAAUCUCCUUCGGGCGAGUUGUAAUUUGUAGAGGAUGUUUCGGGCACCGCUCCGGGUUAAAUUUCUUGGAACAGAAUGUCAAAGAGGGUGAGAGUCCCGUCUUGGCCCGCGGUAGGACCCACGUGAAACUCCUUCGACGAGUCGAGUUGUUUGGGAAUGCAGCUCAAAAUGGGUGGUAAAUUUCAUCUAAAGCUAAAUAUUGGCCAGAGACCGAUAGCGCACAAGUAGAGUGAUCGAAAGAUGAAAAGCACUUUGAAAAGAGAGUUAAACAGUAUGUGAAAUUGUUGAAAGGGAA
rnacentral:misc_RNA from 1 species